rnacentral:rRNA from 1 species
UGGGGGAUAUUGCGCAAUGGGGGCAACCCUGAUGCAGCGACGCCGCGUGAAGGAUGAAGUAUUUCGGUAUGUAAACUUCUAUCAGCAGGGAAGAAAAUGACGGUACCUGACUAAGAAGCCCCGGCUAACUACGUGCCAGCAGCCGCGGUAAUA